CAUCAGAGCUUGCAUUCUACCUCUCGUCAACACUUCCAUUUGGCAAGAGCAAAAUGCAGCAGACCUGGGUGAAUACGUCAGAGUCUUAUUUGAGAUAAGUCUGUAUCCAAAACCACAAGAUUUAAUAAGUAACUUCCCCACCUUCACAAAGCCAUCACGCAGAAAGUACUCUCGAUGAAACAAAACAGGGCUUAAUUCCUAAA